GAAUGUCAUAACGACUCUCGGCAACGGAUAUCUCGGCUCUCGCAUCGAUGAAGAACGUAGCGAAAUGCGAUACUUGGUGUGAAUUGCAGAAUCCCGUGAACCAUCGAGUCUUUGAACGCAAGUUGCGCCCGAAGCCAUUAGGCCGAGGGCACGUCUGCCUGGGCGUCACGCAUCGCGUCGCCCCACUCUCCUGCUUCCCG
rnacentral:rRNA from 1 species